rnacentral:sRNA from 1 species
AGUUUAAAUUUGAAAUUAUUUGUAAAUAUCGCUAGUCAUAAAUUUGCAAAGAAUCGACUUUAUCUAACCAAUGUUUAUGAGAUGAUAAAUACCACAAAUAAAACUGACCACAACAUAAACCUUAAAACAAGCUACAUUUGCAAAUAAUCAACGGAAAAUGUAAGGGGAAAUACCAGAACGAACAAGAAAUUUCCUACUUUGGACAUUUUGAUAAAAACUUGUACAUUGACCAUUAAACUUUUAUCGGAAAAAAGAUGUUUCUCGACCAGAGCAAUGGAAUAAAAUCCGCUGCUAAUGUGAUUGAAAAGUACCCACACAGGGUGAAAACUGUAUCAGAGUGCUUAGUGUUGUGAUCGCUGA